CUAACUACGUGCCAGCAGMCGCGGUAAUACGUAGGGCGCAAGCGUUGUCCGRAAUUAUUGGGCGUAAAGAGCUCGUAGGUGGCUGGUCGCGUCUGCCGUGAAAGCCCGCAGCUUAACUGCGGGUCUGCGGUGGAUACGGGCCGGCUAGAGGUAGGUAGGGGCAAGUGGAAUUCCUGGUGUAGCGGUGAAAUGCGCAGAUAUCAGGAGGAACACCGGUGGCGAAGGCGGCUUGCUGGGCCUUACCUGACGCUGAGGAGCGAAAGCGUGGGGAGCGAACAGGAUUAGAUACCCUGGUAGUCCACGCUGUAAACGUUGGGCGCUAGGUGUGGGGAUCUUCCACGAUCUCCGUGCCGGAGCUAACGCAUUAAGCGCCCCGCCUGGGGAGUACGGCCGCAAGGCUAAAACUCAAAGGAAUUGACGGGGGCCCGCACAAGCGGCGGAGCAUGUUG
rnacentral:rRNA from 1 species